rnacentral:lncRNA from 1 species
UUCUCUCCGGGAGGCAUUCACCCGUCACAUUCUAACACCGUUCUACAUGCGGGAACACAAAGUGCACCUAGAUAUACCUCGGUGGGUAUUAUAAUUGUUACGUUCAACUUAUUAUUUGUAUUUGAUUUGUUGAUUUUUCAUUCUGAUUACUUUCCUAUAUUUAAAACAGUUUACGUCUGCGUUGAAGGAGGUGGAGCGUUCGGCAAAUCGUCGCAAGUUAUAGAAAGUGAAAUCAUAUUGUUACAUGCAUUUCAAGCUGUUUUUUACUGUGUCAAUGUUAUUGUGGCUCCUAUUUUGACAUUCAAAUUUCAAAUACCAAAUUUAUUAAAUAAUAAUUACAAUUAAUUUGCUGAUUGAAUGCUUGUUAGGAUUAAUUUGAUCAUUGAAUGCUUGUUUUUAUACGUUAUAUAUUGAUUCUAAAAUAUCAAUGUUAUUGAAUACAAAAACAAAAAAU